GUGAAUUUGUAGCCUCAAAGGCUCACAUUCUCUAUCCUUUACACACCUGUGCACCCUUCUGAAGCGGAGAGUUAUUAGGCAUUAGCCGAGCGCCUCCCUUCGGUUAUUAUAUCAACCUCAAACUACGUUUACUAGAAUGUAUACCGUCUUGUUGUAACGACAAGUACAAUAUAAUA
rnacentral:misc_RNA from 1 species